GUUUGACUGCACAUAUACAUGGUCUCUAGUCAUAUGGAUCCUUGUUGUGUAGAUUGGCUGCAGUAGGUUCACUGUAGGAGUAGGGUAUGCACUUACAUGGAAUCUAUCGACCUUGAUAGAAGAGGAGUAAUCCUAUGUGAUUUAUUAGACUGAGUUCUAAGAUCUUGGCCAGGGCAGUAAUAUAAAGUGGAAAAAGAGUUUUUCACUAUCGAACUCAAGUCAAAUAAAUCUAGACAUAUGACAGACGACGGGGUUUGACGAGUUAUCCAUGACCUCCGGUCUGUA
rnacentral:lncRNA from 1 species